GGUAUAUUCAUACUACCCUGAACAUACUUGAUCUCGUCUGAUUUUGGAAACUAAGCAGGAUCAGCCCUGUUUAAUACUGGGAUGCGAAACCACAAGGAAACACCAGCUAGUGGUACAA
rnacentral:rRNA from 1 species